rnacentral:rRNA from 1 species
CUCGGUAGUUCAAGCANUAUGGAACAACCCGUUACCAUUCCGAACACGGAAGUUAAACAUUUUAGCGCUGACGAUACUGCAUUUAUGUGGGAAAAUAAGUCACCGCCGAGA